rnacentral:lncRNA from 1 species
CCAAGUACUAUAUAUAAUGAACCCUCUGACCUGUUACUGACAGCAAAAGAUAAAAGGAUGGAAUGACGCAAUGGAUCAGAAAAAGGCAAGCCCUGGCACAAAACGUGUACUUCUGUAUAUAGUGUCCUACAACAAACGGUGUAGAGGUGAAAGAGGGUGGGGACUUUCUCCACUUGUCCAUGAGCGACUGCACAUGAACUUGCGGUUGGUCUAUAAACAGUGCUGUACAUCGCACGGUGAGCCCACGCUUACAUGAGAGCAUCGUUGACUGCGUAUAAACACUGUGAAAUUCCACUUGUCACUUUCUCCUGCUUCCUGUCUGGUUUCUUAGGGGGAUUUUAAACUCCUUGCAACACAAGGGGGGCCGUUGCUUGAGGCUGCAAAACGAAAGUAUGUUGCAGACCAAGACAAGGCGGCUGAAAGCAAGGCAAAGUGUCGUGGCUUAUGGAGCUAAACUCUGAUGUUUAACAAAGCACCGUAAUGAGUGGGAAAGUCUGGAUAUUGAUCACUGCAAUUUCAUUCAUCACCCAUGUUUACCAUGUCCAGUCUAAGUGCAUGAAGCAAGACAUUAAGGCACAUCUGGUGAGUCUAUCCCUCAUUGUUUUUGCGAUUUUUUUUUUUUUUUUUAUUUUAUUUUAUUUUUUUUCUGCCCAUAUCGUCCCAACUAAAUCUGAGGCUUGUUGCCUU